ACCAGAUAUGGCGACAUUGUUCCAGUAACUGUGGUGGGAAAGAUCUUUGGGGGAAUUUGUUCACUUUCAGGAGUCCUGGUAAUAGCUCUUCCUGUUCCCGUGAUUGUCUCCAAC
rfam:Mesocestoides corti genome assembly, scaffold: MCOS_scaffold0000004